GCACCUCUGCGGUGUUCGUGAGCGGCCGGGUGUAUAUCCUUGAGCCUAAUUAUAUACCCCGGGAGCUGAGAAGCAGGUGCUGUUGUGCAGACCCGCGCAAGCGGGGAGCCUGAUGCGCCUGUGCAGCGCCCACCUGAACCAUCGGUUCAAGGUCGAAGGCCUGCCACGGCAUUCGCGGAGCGUGU
rnacentral:other from 1 species